AUAAGCUGAAUUAAUAAACCAAUGAAUAAAAGAUCAAAAAGAACGGAACGGUGGUCUCCAUCAGAAAAAGAACAAGAAUCUUUAGGCAUCAUACAAACAUGCCACAAAGUAAGGCACUCCUCAAUGAAUCAAUCAAUGGAAUCUGAAUAGGUUAAUUAUCCAAUAUGCUUGAUUAAUCGCUUUGAUUAGAAGACAGGAUGAGCGAUGGAGUGGCAUGAUGAGAAAUAGGAGCUUUUCUGUGUGAGUGGCAACAGAUCAAUCAAUACUUAUUGUGUAGAUUAAUAGUCACACUAAUUGCAGUGUCUGAUUGAUGAUGCAGCGUAACAUGGCUCUUAGAUAAGAACAUGACAGGUGAAUGUUAGAAGAAAAUGAAGAAAGAAUGGGACUGAGAAAGCAUUGUAGAUGCAUAUUAACAAUUCAAUAUAUUUAGACUUCAAAAUAGCAAUUUAUCUUCUAAAAGCAACAUUUAUGUAUUAUUACUCAUGAAACAAACAAAUCCAUGGCACCUUGUUUUAACAUUGGCUUCACAGUUCAGCUGUCAAAAGACUUCCUAAAAGAAAGAUGGAAAUAUCAUAGAUGAAUAAACGUUUCUAAAUGUUGAAGAUGUAGAGGUUUUGUCUUGACUUGAAUCCAUCAUAAUUCAUCCUCUAGUGAAAAAUAAGAACUGUCCCAUAGUGUACAGGAAACCAAGACUACCCCUAUCCCAUGCCUCCUACACAGAGCAGGACAUCUCCCCAGGAAGAGGAUGCUUCUGUGUACCACAGAUUGCUGACAUUCUUAUGGCACAAACUGGGAGACAUUCCAAAAUUGUUGGCCAGGAGUCCAUGAUUGGCCAGAGAGAGAUCGAAGGUUACGUAUCACUUUACGAAGCAAAGAUUACAUCUGAGAUCUGCUUUACAAUUUACAUGGCCAUUGUUGUUCAUUUGAGCAAGAAGCACCAUGUGCUCAAAAAGAAAGUCAGAUGGGUUUGAACUGUGAAUAUUUUGUUACACAGCCAACAGUCUUCAAGACAUUUUUUGCUAGGGGCUGACUGAUAUUGAUAUGCCUAGAGGGUAAAAUUGAGAGAAAAAAAAUUUUGAUCAAUUUUUUUGUAAGUACAUGGUUGUUUUGAUUUGUAACAUUUGACUCAUUCCACUCUUGUCAAACCCAUACUUGUGGCAUCUACUCAAGGCACUAAACUGUGUUUACCUUAUUGAUCAUUCUUUGUGUCCACACAUUUUUUUAUAAUAUUAAAAGUACAUUUAUAUAGAUUGUUUGAUGAACCGAUAGAUUCCUAUGAACUUUUGAUUCCAAAUUGACACCCUGCUUACUGAGUGAAAGUUCAGGGAGAGAUGAGAGAUGAUAAUGAUUUUUUAAUGAUGGUUCUGAAAGGCCCUGCAUUUGCUUCUCAUGUGAAGUGCUUUGAGAGGGAGAAAGAGUUAUGUAGAGAGAGAAAGCCUGCUUGAGAAGACAUGAGUCUGACAAGCACAAUUGACCCACCCUCCUUCAUGCAGCAUGCACUUACAAGGCCCCACCAUUCUGUUCUCUUGACUUCUUAACUACAAUAUUGUAUGAUGUAAUGGGUUGAAAAAAAGAUUAUACAUCUGUUUGAUGAAACAUCUUUUACUUUGGUUACACAUCAAAUUAUGAAGUUUGAGUUUAAAGCAGAGCAGUGCCCGUAGAUGGACAAAAACGGACAACGGUCAGUAUUCAAAGGCUUGUCUAAGUUUGAGACACUGCUUACAAGCAGGUUUUUCUGUUCAGCAGUGGCUAAGAGUUAUAUAAUAAAAUGAGGGUAUUUACAAGAUCUAAAUUAGCAAAAGAGAAUUACAGAAAAGUGUUCUGUAAAUGAAAGAUUAAAAGAGGUGGUAAAUUAGAUGUGUUAACAUCAGAUGUUAUUUAAAGAACUAAAAAGUACAAUCUUUUUUUAAUGACUGUAUAGGUCACAGUUCAAUAUACUGGGCAUGGAUUAUAGGAGAGGAAUUAAUCUUUUCAUUGGAGUCACAGAAAAUAGGUUAAACCUGUCUGAGGUGAACCGAGCAGAAUUAAGAAGAGAAUAUAUCCAUUGAAAUCCUGAUAAUUAGAUGGCUCUGAGUUUCCAAAAAAGUGUUAUUCAUGUGGUCAGGCAAGUAUUAUUCAAUGUUCCCCAGCUGAUAUAUGUAUUAGAUCAUGUCAAUAAAAUACUGGAUGCUGUACAUUUUCAUAUAUCCUGAACAAUUAGAUAGUUAAAGUUCAUUGCUAAGAGCUUCAUCAUUAUAAAAGUAGCAUAUUAGUUAAACACUUUUUUGAUUCAACAAAAAUGCAAAAAGGCAUUAAUCAAACAACUGAGAUUGAUAUAACAUAUACACAGACUUAACUAAAUCACAACUUGUGGAAAGACUUCAGAGCAGGUGAACCGUGUGACAUUCCAGCACACAAAGGAGUGUGUAGCUUUACAGUGUCUAAAACCAACAUCAAUGCCACUGCAAUGGUAGUGCAAGGAUUCUUUCACUCUUUGGCGUUGUUCCAGAUGGGGGAAGAGACAUCAUGUACAGCAGUUUGACAGAUGUUGUGUGUGUAUUAGUAGGGAAUUCUGUCUAUUCAACCCUCUGAUAUCCUAUUUAGUUUAUUAUUUCUGAAUGUUUAAUCACAGAAAAUGCGUUCCAAUGCAUCUUAUAAUCGACAUCUUAACAAGAUAUGAUUCAAUAUCAUUAUAUUUACACCGGGUCUAACUAUUUGGAAGACUAUGCAAUGUACCUAUUGAGAACAUAGUAGUCCUGCCAGUGACCGGAGGAGCGUUAAGAGUAGCUGCAGGUUGAGCUGUGUACCCCACUGGUCAUAUUCCAUUCCAUAUUACACACUGAUGGCACAGGAAUUGUUUAAUGUUCAGUUUCUUGCACGUGGAUAUUUUGACAUGUAAAGGUAUCAAACCUUCCAUGACCAAUCAAGCCCCAAUUACUCAGAUUCUAAGCACUAUUUUAGAUAAUAUGGUUAACUCGCUAAAAUAAAACCAAAGCAACCUUCUAGACAAACAUGUUAGUACAAUUGCUCUACAGUGUACAUUGCGUUUUUUGUUCUGGAUCAAUAGUAUAGGAGUUACAUAACAAAGAUAGUUGUCUUUGUACCGAUGGUCAUUGGGGGCAACGUUCUGCACAACAUUGCAUUUUUACAUUACAUGUCAUUUAGCUGACACUUUUAUCCAAAGCGACUUACAUUGCAUUUUUAACCCAUGGUUUUUACAUUUUGCCCAGGGAGCAGUUAGGGGUUGGGUGUCUUGGUCAGGGACACUUCAACAUGGGACAUGCCGCAACUAGGUUUCAAGCCGCCAACCUUGUUGUUCCCAGCACACCCUCUCUACUCCAUGCGCCACCGUUGCCAACAGUCAGCAGCUGAGCUAAAAUAUAGUUAGUGAAACUAUAUAUGAAACGAGCAUUUGACUUUCAGUAGAUAAUGCAGUCGCUGCCGACCAUAGCUGUUUUUGCAUGUCCAUAUCUUUGUGUCGACACACACAUACCUGUGUUCUUGGGUCUUUACCCAGGGAUGUGAGGCUCUGGCUGUAUUUGACCACAACGGGAGGCAGUACUUCAACUUCAAGAAGAAUCUGUAAAGCGAAACAAGAACAGGGGAGAUUGGUCCGACAACUAAAUAAAUAAAUGUUAAUGUUAAUAAUAACUAGUAGUAGUUGCAGUAACCAACCGGAUAUAAAAAAAACAAAAAGCCUCUCAUCUGUCAGAAGUAAGCCAACCUUCACAACCAUUCCAGACUUUCUUCUUUUAACAACAUAUCCUAAACCAUCCUAAACCAAUCAUGUGCAGAAGGUCCCGUGAUAUAAGAGGAAAUAAUGAUAUUGGAUACAUUCAGAAAUCAAUAUAAAUAAGCCCAGACUAAAACCAACUUCUUACUGUCAGCAUGACAAAAUGGUCAACCAAUUUUCUGGGGAACAUAAAUAUUCAAACAAUGUUUCACAGCAUUCUAGUCAAAAGUCUUGAGCAAAUCAACAGAAACAUUUGGGUGACACCAUCAAUGCAAAGAACCAUCCAGGUUAAGGAAUGGGCCCAAAAUACUGGGAUCACAACACUGGUAUAAUAUUUUUUUAAUAAGCCCUCGCAUCAUUAAUAAACUGUCCUUCAUUGUUGUAUCGUUGUGUAUCAUUGCAUCUGCUAUUGUAUAUGUGUAUUUUGGACUCCAACUAGACCACUUAGUUUCCUGCAGUCACUUGCAGUCUAAUAAAAAUGUUAUGUAUUCGGCAUUAAGUAAGAUUAUAGUGCAUUAAGUGCUUUACAAGCAUAGUGUGAGAGAAUUAUCUUGAUCACACCUUAAAAUAAAUAAACAGCAUGUAGAUUAAUUAGUAGUUGUUUAUCAUGAAAAUGUUAAUUAUUUUAGAAAUACUUGCCUGGUGAUUUCAGUUUGAUAGUUUGAUGUGAGCUUUUAGCUGGCUUAUUGUCUGCUUGAAAUGCAACACAUUCAUUUGUGCUUCCUAAUCGCACACAGCAAUUUAAAUUCUGCAUUUCAAUGAUUGUGGUUCGUGUCCUUUUUAUGGAAGAUGUUGCAGCGGGCAACCAUCAUUAGCCUGUGUUUAUAUGCAGCUAGGUGUGCACAGGAUCUAAAAGACCUCCACCUCUAUGACAGGCUGGCAAUUAUUGUGGUUGAGGAUUAUAAAUACAGUAUAUUUUUCCCAGCAGCUGAAUAAAGAAAAGAUGGAGAUCUGAACAUACUUCAGUAUGAUAUUCCGGUUAAUAAUAUAAAUAAAAUUAUAAUCUUUUAUUCUUAAAAUGUGUGUAACAGUCAGUUUUGUAUAUUGUGGGGUUAAGUAAUUUCUGGACAAAGCAGAAUUAAUUGAUCAGCCCUCCAGGCCACUGGAGGAUGUAACAAAAAUAUGAUAAGUCAGAAGUUAAAAAAAAAUAACAGUAGCAACAUCACACAAUAGCUAAGAACAAAUUCCACUGGCUCUUUCCCCAAUACAGCCAUGUUUGGAUGCCCAAUAUUUGGAUGGUAUAGUUUUGUGUCAUCAAAGUUUAAAAGGUAUUGAAAAAGCCAUAAGAAAUUUGUGUCUGCAACCAGUAUAACCCUUACAUCAUGCCAUUGUUUUCUAUUACCACAAUAUCAACUCGUCUGUUGUCAAUAGGUUGGUCAAUUUACCGUUCCAACAAUUUCGCCCAUAAAACUAAUGGAUGACCAUGGAAUUUGGUUUAAAUAUUGCUAUAUAAUCGGCUGAAAUCAAAUUCACAAUUGGUCAAUUAUUCAAAAGAAUUAUUUACAUAUGUUUUUUUCCUGUUUACAAUUUUUUUUUUCCUAUUUCUUUGAUUCUCAAUUUCUGCAAUAUUUGGGAUUUGGUCAUGGUUAGGCAAAUGUACGGUGGCCCUGAAGUGUAAAUCACAACGGCAAAUAAGAAAACAUAACGAGAUUAACUUCUUACGGAAAGGGUAGGGCCUAUCUAGCAGAGGACAGACCGUUUUGAUUGGACAAACGGACUGUCUGUCUUUUAACCCUGUUAAUCCAUAGCCUUUCGGCGGCGACGGCUAAGGCCAGUGGACGCCGGAGGUGGUGUGCCGCGCACGCUACGGCCGACACGGCUUGGGGACCGGAGUCCAAUUCCUUGGCGUGAGGAAUUGAUUGUGUGGCGGGAGUGCGUGACAACAGACCGAAAUGCGUGACUGUCCCGAAAAAAACCUUCACAGUCAGAGAAACUUCAAGCGUUUAUAGUAGUAUAGUGGAUCUGUUGUACUUGACAAUACAAUAGUAAAAGAUCUACUUACACUGUUUAUUCCAGAGCCAUGUAAACAUCGAUUAACCCCCACAAUUCUACGGAUUUUUUUUUCUACAGCACUUUUGAUAUACAAAACUACAGACAUUAUCUGUUAAUUAAAACACAACUUUUCAGCGUUGGAGUCCUCGCAACUUCACAUGCCGGGGCACCGGCCGGACGGCUAGAAACUCAGCCAAGAACCCCUACGCCCCCGCUCUGUCCGAGAGUCGGUCGUCGUUAACCGUGUGGAGCAAAACCAGGAAUCCCGCUUCGCAAAUUUUAACUUUAACAUUAUUAAGGUCUUAGGCCACUCCCCAGCCUACCUCUGGUCAAUUUCAGGUUAGAAUUAAAAGGACAAUAUCAAUAGUAAAACGAUCAUUUGACUUUAGGCAGAUAGAAAACAUCCCCAAGGUGUCACGAAGGGUUAAUCAGGACAUUCUGAUCUACUAUUCCAAACUGAAAGCCUCUCAAAAUACCAUACAUAAGCUGAUUUCCUUUAAUUUCUCCAUCAAGAGACUUUUUUUGUUCAAAUUCAGGUUAGGAUUAAAAGGAAACUAUCAAAAGUUACAUGAUGAUUUCACUUCAGACUAAUAGUAUACAUUCCCAAGGUGUCACGCAUGGAUAAGCAGGACAUCCUGAUGUACUAUUCCAAAAUUAAAGCCUCCCGAAAUACCAUACAUGAGCCAAAAUAUCACAAGACUACAUCUGGUCAAUUUCAGAUUACAUUUAAAAGGAAAAAAUCAAUAGUUACACAGUAUUUCCACUUCAGGCAUAGAGUACACAUCCCCAAGGUCUCACUCGGUGAUAACCAGAAUAUUCUGAUGUACCAUUUUCAAAAUUAAAGCCUCUCGAAAUGCCACUGUGGUGGCGGGGCGUGGUUAGCUCAGCUGCAGGGGGGAGAGCGGAGGAGUGGUUCAGGGGACGGUGCCGGUAGGUGAGGAGAAAGCACAGGCGGAAAUAAUCUGCACUGGUUGUCUCUCUGGUAAAAACAGUGAGCAGGCUCCGGAUCGAGGGACGUGAGCAGAGCAGAGCUGAGCACGAGAGUGGAGCAGAGCACGAGAGCUGAGCUGUGCAGAGCUGAGCAGGACAGAGCCGAGCCGAGCCGAGCAAUAGCGCGACGAACGGCCUCAAUCCUGCCCACUGAUCCCUUACAAAAUACAAGUCGUAUUGCUCUCAACGCGUGUCCGUGCGUCCUUACCGAACCCUGCAGUGGUAGCGCUAUCACGGCCACAGCCACCUUCGCUUUUUACUGGAUACUAGAAAAUUUGAAUUCCUGAUACAAGUAGGUGGCGCUAUGACAUGAUUCAACUUUGCAUAUCUUCAGGCCCAGAGUGUCAUCAAACAUGUAUAAAUUGGAAAGAAUCCAAUGUUGUCCAGUAGAGUUACAACGGUUUAGUUGUUCUUGGCGAAACAUCAACAAUGCACCCUCUCGCCACCGAUUAUCGGAUUCUUAUAACCUUCACAGUGAAGCACUAUCAUGGUCUUACCUCUCUGCUACGAAAUUUUGAGAGGGAUCAGAUAAACCUUUGUGGAGCAUAACCUGUGAGGAGCAGGGUGUAAAAUAAAAAAAACAAUGAACUUCUCCCCAGGUGGCGCUAUGACUAAAGUUAAAAAUGAUCUAAUGGAUGUCUACAGGGUGAGAAGUUCAUGCUAUAUGAGAAAUAUGGAGAAGAUUAGAUGAAGUAUGGUCAAGUUAAAAUGUUCAUGCCAAAUGGUGGUUUUUCAAAAAUGCUCCCUACACACAUAGUUUGGAAUUUCUUCCGGCAUAAUGCAAUUCCUAGAGCCUAGGUCCUCAAGAUCACACUGCGCGAAUUUGAAAAGAAUCGGGUUUAAUCCCUGGGAGGAGUUCGGUCUAUUACAACUCUAGGAAUUCACGAAAAUAGGAAAAAAAUAGGCCAAAAAGACAGAUUUUCAACGAUUAAUUGCAGCGACCCCUAUUCUUCAAAUAUUUUUUAAAAAUCAGGGUGUGUUCAGGGGUUCAAUGUUCGCAUGUGUUACAAGUUUGGUGAGGUCAUUAGCCUAUAUCUUCUCAAAACAAGAAGAUGUCAAGAUGAUAUUGAUGACAUUGAUCCAAUAAUGAUCGACAGAAACUCUCGUGAAAAUCUCGUGACAUAGCGUUUUGGAGAAAUGGCCAAAAACGUGUUUUUCACAAAAUUCAAAAUGGCGGAAAAUCUAGUUAGGCUCAUUUGCAUACCAUGAUUGACUUUUUUGUAGAGCAUGUCCAAGCGCACGUAUCUGCCAAAUUUCAAGGCGAUUGGACAUCGAGGAGGGGGGAAACUGGCCUAGUGAGGUACUUUUUUACCUUUCUAGGGGGCUCUUAUGGAGAUAUUUCUUCGUACCCAAAUGCGAGACCCCCAAAUUAUCAAAUUUUUGAACAUUUCAGAUAUGUAUGCCAAAUUUAACAACUUUUUGAAUAUGAUAAAGCCCCCAAAAAGGCCCUUACUUUGUGAGAAGAAUAAUAACAAUAAUUCCAUGAAAUACAAUAGGUUCCUCUACGACUAGUCGUUGCGAGGACCCUAAUAAUAAUUCCUUGAAAUACAAUAGGUUCCUCUACGACUAGUCGUUGCGAGGACCCUAAUUAUAUAUUAAUGUGUACUUUACAAACUCCGUAUUUCUGGAUGUCAAUUUAGCUAACUUUUUUCAUUACAUUAAACAUGAGGCCGUCUUUAUAAAAAGAUGACGAAGCUGUACUGCUCUUUAUGUUGAAACUUUCAGGCAUGUUGCCACGCCCAAUCAGUGAAUUCACAGAGAGUGAACAAUGAAAAUAGGCUUAAAAUGCAGAUAUUGAGCGUCAUCAGCUCCUUAAUUAGUACCGCUAAUUGCAUAAAAAGAGAUCAAUUGUCUACUGCAUCAUAAUUCAUACAGUGAACAUACAGAGCUUUUAAUUGAGAAAAAAGAAAAGAGAGAGAGAGCUGUCAGUACAAUCAUGAGAGAACAGUAGUGAGGCAGAAACACUCCAGAUGUCACCUCUGUGUGUGUGUGUGUGUGUGUGUGUGUGUGUGUGUGUGUGUGUGUUGGAGUGCUUGCUUGUGUGUGCUGGUGUUUGUGUAUCCAAGACAAAAGGUGGAAGGAGAGAAUGGGUUUGGCCUAAAUUUAGCUUUUUCUCACCCACACCCAUCCACACACACACAGACAGUUGGGUUUCCAUUACUUUUUGAACAUUUAAUUGACUAACUGAUUUAACUAUUUUUCUGUGGACCAUAACCUUUUCCAGUCUAUAGACUAUGAACCCUUACCGUAAUCUGAACCACGUCUUCACUCCUUAAUUGUAUUAUUUAGAUUCUGGGGAUGUGGAAGUGUCCCUAUUUCUUCAUGACUGUGUUAUCAGAAAGGUGUCCUCACAAUCUGCCCCCAACAGACACGCUUACACACAAUGAUACUCACACAAUGACACACGGACACACUCUGACUGUCAGAGUGCUUCACUUCUCUUUCGGGUCACUGGCAGGUCUUACACAUCAUGCGCUCAUCAAACUGUGAGUGUGGAGUUGUGUGUGUGUGUGUGUGUGUCAGCUCGUCAGUGUGAGAGAGCAACAUAAUGGAGGAGUGUCUAUACCAGUGUCUGCACAAGUACUUACCAUGCAUAGACUGAAAUGCACAGUGACUAUCUCCCUGCUGAUGGCUAAACACUCCCCCCUCUUCUUUACACACAGGUAAAACUACAAAAAUAAAUUGUAUAAAUUUGCAGUGGAAUAUUAUAACUGAUAACCUCUGCAUUGAAUACAGCUUAGCAAUAAAAGAUGAAAGACAGGUCCUGUGUGGUUAGGCCAUUACUUAGCACUGUGCUAACAGCACAGUGUCAGCCUACUCCAUGUUUGUAGUGGUGUCUCCUCCAGAUGACCUUUUCUUUCUGAUGUGGAAAAGCUCCAUAUUCCAGCACGUAACAGUGCAGUUGAACUGCCUGAUAGCCACAGUUACAGAAAAUCAUAUUAAGUCAUCUAAUGUUCUUAUUAAGCCAAAGUUGAAAUUAUUUUGAAAUAAUUAUAAGUAUAUAUAUAUAUAUAUAUAUAAGUAAUAGUAAAUUACAUGUUAGCUCCCUUAAACUAUGCCAGAGAGAGAUGUUGUGGUUACACAAAGAUUACUUGUAAAGAUUAUUGCAAAGAAAUGGAAAUUAUUGUUGGAAUUUAUAUAAAUGAAAAUCAUAAACUUGUUAACAUGGUUUUCCAAUGGAGUUCAUUUUCAAAUUCUCUUAAAUUUCAACUUUCAAAUCCUUCUGCUUCGCCAAUCUUUCAGCAACAAACACUAUUUGAACUUUAAAAUGUUGGCAAAAGUCUAAACUAUUUUAUUUAAAAAACAACUUUUUAAUAUCUAUUUUACUUUUUUCAUAAUCACUGAUUAUGUUUCAUUAGUUUUUCAGUCCGUUUCUGAGAUUUACAUGUGUGUGUAUUGCGUUUCUUAGAGAGAAAGAUAAAGACCUUAAAGACCAGUGCCAGAAUCUGGUUACAAACAUAUUUCUAUCUUGCUCUCACGGCCACAAUAUCCACUCUUCAGGCUUUAUUGCUGAAUCACAAUGAUGCCAUGCUUGUGCUAGUUGUACUCACGUGAGAAUGGAAUCCCACAGACAUUUACUUUUGGCCUGGGACGCCUGAGAGUCUCAAUCUCCAUAGGCUCCAAUACAAAUAUGGUGACAUAUUUCUCAAAAAAAACAGAAGGUACACGUUUUGAAAAAGUGCCAUUAGAGUCGUAAUUAUGACCACAUAUAAAUAACCUGGACGUGUUCGGAGUCUUGGGUCUCUCAAAAUCACCUUAUUUUUUUGGAAAACCAUUAUAGUUUUGCACUAAAGGACACUUGUUUGAGGUGUGGAUUCUGUGUAAAUCGCUGUUAUGCUCUCUGCCCUUUGAUCGGCUCGUUGAAUGGACCCAGGUGCGUGGUUACUGUGGUUACUCAGACACACACUGCAGUCUCUGUAUCUGUUUCUCACACAGCUGGACGAUAAAAGCUGAUUAGUGGAGUGACAUGACGCAGGCAUGCUUUCUGUCAACCGGCCAAAAUCACGAAGCCCCUCGCUCAUCGCUGCUGACUCCCCGUGCAGCGUGGAGGACAUCGGGCUGGCUGUGGGGGAGAAGGUUGGGCACGGCAGCAUUGUCGGCCUCGCACAUGAACAGUGCCACGGUCUUCUUCCUGGACCAGUUGGAGAAGUUGAACCGUGUCGUUGAGACAGGCCUCACGGUAAAUUAAUUGUUUGCCUAGGGGUUGCCGUUAACACAACCGGCAACAGAAAUCAUGUUUUCAAAUGUCCCUCCGUUCAUUACAGACGAGUUCCUCAGUUCCUCCUGAAAGGAGAUGUCACCGAUCAAAAAGAUAUUGUCUGGAUGCAGGUCUCAGUUGCUGAAGCACGUAGUGUCUCACCGCAGACACCUGUCCCGACCGGGGACCCCGUGGCUGUGGGGCCCGUUCCGGUUCCCAGGCGCCGCGGUGGUGAUGCUGCUGUGCCUGACCAGCACUGGAUGAGUGCGAGUGUGAGUGGUGAUCUUGUCCAGGCCAGCAUGGGGGAGGCAGAGCAGGUUGGCGGAGGAAUUGAAAGUAUUUCAAUUCCUCCGCCAACCUGAAGAAUUUCUAGUCUUCUGACCACUCAAAGCGCUUUAACACUACAUGACAUCAUUCACCCAUUCACACCCAUUCAUACACUGAUGACAGGAGUACCAUACACAGUGACACCUGCCAUCAGUAACUACCAUUCAUACGCUGUAGUCGCAGCUACAGGAGCAAUGUUGGGUUAAGUGUCUUGCCCAAGGACAGCCGGCAACUCAGGAGGUGUUCUGUGUCCCCCAGCCGGCCAUUCCGGAGGUGUUCCAUGUUUCCCAGCCAGCUAUUCCAGAGACGUUCAGUGCCCUGCAGUCGGCGCUCCGGAGCCAGACUGCUGACCGUCCGCUGGGCCGACCACCAGAGUUUUCCCGGGCGUCUGGCCGCCCGCCGACCAAUGUCUCUGGCCCCUGUGAUUGUCUGAUUGUUUCCACCUGUGUCCAAUCACCUGCACCUCCCUAGUGUAUUUAAGCAGUGUGUGUCUCUUGUCACUUGUCGCGUCAUUGUCGAUUGUCCUGGAUGUUUCGUGGUUCCGGCCUGUAUUUUUGCCUUUUUGCCCUUUUGGGAGUUUUUGACUAUUAAAGUCCUUUUGUGUUUCGUAAAGUCUGCGUUUGAGUCCUGCCUACCCCGCAUCCCUGAAAGGACACGCAGACUGGUCUGGGGCAGAGGCAGUCAGAGGACAGUGACGAGGAGAUGUCGUACUGCAGUGAUCCUCCAACGGGGUUUUUAAGUAACAGCCAGCAACAAAAGAUGUACACUUCUGAAAAAUAGGAACAUUCUUAGGAAAACAAGAAGCAAAAAGGUUAUAAAAUGUAUUUUUUAGAUCUAAGUUUGUUUUGCACCUCUGCCAGACACCACAUGAGUGGAGGAGUCCGUGUCAGGAUUGGGUAGGAAGGCAGGACUCAAACGCAGACUUUUAACAAAAAACGACUUUAAUAGUCAAAAAGGCAAUAAAGAAAAGGCCAACGGGCAAAAACACACACACAGGAACCGGGGGGAAAAAGGCAGGCAAGAACGAGGAACGUCCAGACCAUAGACGUGGAACAUCCGGGACAAUAGACAAUGAUGCGACAAAUGACAAGAGACACACACUGAUUUAAAUACACUAGGGAGGUGCAGGUGAUUGGACACAGGUGGAAACAAUCAGACGAUCACAGGGGACGACAGGACAAGGCAGGAAGUGAAGUUACCCGGGGACACGAGUGGCAGAAAACUACAAAAUAAGACAGGAAGUGAACCACAUCGUGACAGUCCGGCCUCUCUGGGCAGGAGGGUUUUUAGAUUAAAAAAACUGUUCAAAGGAGGCAGAGCGAUGAACAUAAUGUCAACAUCUUCAAUAUAUGUUUUAAUUAAUUCAUUGGUUUUUAUUUUUGUGGUAAAUCUACUCACAAUGAAUACUUUUAAAGUGGGGAGUUUAAAUGUAAACCGAGCUGGAGAUGAAAAGAAGAAAGCAUGUAUUUAUGAAUAUAAUAAUAUUAAGCGUAUGUUCUCUUCUUACAAGAAACACAUCGCAACAGCACCAAAGAGGCCGACUGGAUGAGGUGAAUGAAGGGGAAGUCCUCCUGAGCCACAAUACAAACAGUCUUUUAAGGUCUUUUAAUCCAUUGUUACCGGAGGUCAAACACAUCAUCAAGGGGAGGUUGUUUUUAGUCAAGUCACCUUUUUACUGUUGUUUUUAUCAAUGUGUAUGCUCCAACAAUCGGUGCAGAGAGAAAGCUAUUUUUACAAAAAGUUAAUGUUUUAAAUGGCUGUGCCUCAGAGGAUUGUUUUAUUCUUGAGUGGGGAUUUUAACUGCAUGGAAAAUUAUUUAAAAGACCGCAGAGCCACAUCCAUCUUCACAGCACGCUCUGAAGUAGCUGGUCCAGUCUCACGGCCUGGUGGAAGUUUGGAGAAGGCAGACUGCCGGCAGUACACGUGGUCCCAUUUUAGAGAAGGUAGAAUCUCCUCACGCAGGUUAGAUCGUUUUUAUGUUUUUAAGCAGCAUUUUUAUAUUUUCAAGAUGUGCAAUUUUGUCCCUACUGGUUUUACUGAUCAUUCUUUGAUAAAAUGUUUUUAUUGGAAACUUUUUCAUAUUGGCAUUAGCUUUUGAUCAGCAUUUUAGAGAGGACCUUUUUAUGUCUUGGGUGUUUAGGCUGAGGAAGAGCGAUUUUAGCAGUCUUAGACAGUGGUGGGACUAUGGUAAGAUUGAGUUUAGGCUCCUCCGUCAGAAGCAAACCUUCAAUGUCACCAGAGACAUCGCUAUAUCUAUAAAGGACAUGGAUAGUGGACUGAUAUAGUGGAACUAGGGCGUUUAAGAAAGUCAACAGGAGAUCGAGGACAUAUUGAAGUUCUCAAAGGAAAAAAUGCCUCUGACCGACCUGUUUGAUGUUAAAGUUCAGGGUACACCGGUCUAGCUUCUCCUUUGGCCUGGAGAAGAAGAGUGGGCAGGGAAGGGUUGUAGAGCCAGGCCAGAUUAGAAGGUAAGGUUUUUCUCCUCCCUGUAUAACAGUGAGUACAAGGGGGCACUCCUCCAGCUGUGGCACCGUCUCACCUGCCUUGACCCUCCCUCGGGCUUCCUGGCCCACAUACAAAGAAAAAUGGUGGAUUUGUUUUGGGGCAGUCUACUCUGGGGUGCUGUUUUAGCCAGGGAGGAGUGGGGACUGGGCCUCGUCCACCUGGCCAGCCGGAGGGCCACUUUUAGACUCCAGUUUAUACAAAAAUAUCUCACAGGUCUAGAUGCUUUGGUAUGGAGCGACGUGGCCAGCUGUAUUUUCAGACGUGCAAACAAUCUGGGGCUGGACGCUGCUGAUUUUAAUUCAUUUUAAUUUAAAGUCUUGGGCCUGAAAACGGAAAACAAAUGUCAGAAAGACUGAAAAGAAAUGUCAGAAAGAACACUUGGUACUGUUUUGGUACACAGUAAAAUUCUUAGAGUUAAUUUUCUGGUGUUAGGCAAAAGUGUUGUGCAAAGUUGAAAUCACACUGCAAAAAGUUGAUUCAACUCUUACAGAGUCAAUUGUAUGAAAGGGUUGGAGUCAUCAUGCAUCGUGUCAAGAUCAGAUUCAUUUGCGACAUUUAGUAGAGUUAAAUUAACUCUUUGAUAGGUUUGAAAUGUAACUGUACAGUGUCACACUUCUUGGUGUUUGGUUUAACUCUACGUCCUGUGGGUUGGAGAGGGUGAGCCGGGAACCACAAGGUUGGCGGUUUGAACCCCGGCUGCUCCAUGUCAAAGUGUCCUUGAGCAACACACCUAACCCCUAAUUGUCCCCAGGCUAAAAUGUGAAAACCAUGGGUUAAAAAUGCAAUCUAAGUCACUUUGGAUAAACGUGUCAGCUAAAUGACAUGUAAUGUAUUUAACACUGGGCAGAUUUAUUUUUGACACUUAUUCCGAGUUAACUUGUUAACACUUCGUUUAGUGUUGAUUUAACACUGACAAGAUUGGGACAAUAUACACCAGCUUAGAGUUAAAAUUGAAUCUCACAGUCAAUAUAACUCUCUGAAAUUUCCUGUGUAACCCUCUUCUUUGCUACAUUCAAAGGGAUGUUCUUUGUAGAACAUGCAUAUAUUUUGCCAAAGAAUUAUGAUCCUAUGGGAAAAAAGAGAGGCACUUAAAUAGAAAAUGGAAGGGACAAAUGGAAAGAAAUUGAUGCCUCACACAGUGUGAUAGAGAUUAAAAAUAACAUCCACUCAUACACACGAUGAUGCUUCAGAGUGAGAGGAAGAUGGUAAAUGAAAAAUGAUCCACUCUCUCACAAAACAAAUGAUCACAAUUGAUUUACUCACAAAUCUCUCAACUAACAUUUUAGUAUUCAUAAAAAAAGCUUAGAACAACAAAUGUCUUGCGUGCGUUCUGUAUAUAAUCACAAAAACUAAGCUUUUUGACUAUAUUCACAACAAAACUUAAUUCACAAAUAUGUUUUUCUAUCUUGAUAGAUUCAUUAAGCAGAAAGCAACAACAGUUCAUCUGUUAUUGGACCAGUGCACUGUGCUUGGGGCUGCAGAUGGCUCAUCAUUAUCUUUCAACGAGCAAGGGUAAUUCUCCUGGAUAUCCUCAACAGCCUGGGGCCGAGACUGAGCGGGGGUGGAGAGGGGACGCAGCUCGUCCCUCCACCUGUCUAAAUGAUCCAUGCUCUCUCCUCCCUGCAUACGAGGGCAGUACAAAACGGGUGGGUGACCUGUGGGUGACCAUACUGUAUCCCAAGCAUCUGUCAGCCCCUCGCUCACAAAUCUCUCUCCCUCUACACUAUACAUUACACCUCAAAAGUAUUGUUGAUAUGAUGAUUGUUGAUACUAUUCAACAACAUUGUCAUUGAUCGGUUACCCUGAUUGCGUCUAGUGGUGGUAUUGUAUAGUAGAAACCACGAGCGGUUUCAGCCCUGGCUGCUCCAUGUCCCAUACCGAAGUAUCCUUGAGCAAGACACCUUACUCCUAAUUUCUCCCCGGGCAAAAAUGUAAAAAGCCAUGUGUUAAAUGCAAAAAAUGCAAUGUAAGUCACUUUUGAUAAAAGCGUCAGCUAAAUGACCUGUGAUGUAAUGUAGUUGGAGGAUGGUGGCACCCUCAUGUUUCCACCCGUGGGGACAAUACAUAUUUGCAAAUGUAAAUUCUUCACUUCACUGCUCUUCACUGCUCUCCUAGGUUGUAAUGCUUAUGUGUAAUUACAAGUCAGACAUUUCCCAGUUGUGUGAGAGCUGUCCCUCCAAUUCCUUCCGACUUGUCCUAUUAUAGUGAUCUCCAAGCCUCAAUUCACUUAUAUCACAAUAUCAUACUUAGAUAAUUUCUAUAGCAGAGUAAAGAUACAUUUCCAUCCAUCCAUGGU
ensembl:lncRNA